AAUUCUCAACUGCCCCAAGCUCUUUGUGGGUCAGUUGGAUCUUGGAGGACAUUGCUGGUGCGUGCUCCGUGCACGCUUGUCGGCUCCUCUUGAAUGCAUGAGCUUUCCAGUCCUUGGCAAAGUAUCGUCGAUGUGAUAGUUAUCUGCGUCGUCCGAGAAAAGCCGUGCAAGGGGAAAUCUACGAUCGUAUCGGCCCUUCGGGGUUCCGUGUCUGACAA
rnacentral:misc_RNA from 1 species